rnacentral:tRNA from 2 species
UCCCCGCUAGCUCAGUUGGUAGUAGCGACAGACUGUUAAUCUGGAGGUCGGUGGUUCGAACCCACCGCGGGGAGCCA